ACAGAUAAUUCAAGGCCUGCAAUAAACAAAAAGGAAUUCUGGGAGACAAGCCAAUAGACAGUCAAACUCCAACCAACCUGGGGAUGGAACCUGUGACUCCGGGGUAGUUAAGAAGCUAACAACUCGACUGAGCCACUUCCAAUGCCUCCUACAGUCUAAGUGAAAGCUAUCUUCCCGACAAAGAUAUCUACACAGAGAGCCAGCUCUCUCUGCAAGGCCUUUCCUAAGAAAAUCCUUCUGGUGUUGUGGUGAUGCCAAGCUUUGUGACUAGAAGCCAAAAGUGAGCAAGGAUGGUGGAAUAUAAUGCCAUUCCUGGAUAAUGAUGGACUGCUAUGAAUCGGUGCUGCAAAAACCAUCAGUGGAACGGAAAGGAGAUAAUGUGGGCAACCAAAUGAAGAAUUAGCCUAGAACACCAGGACAAAUAUCUGCAAAGGAGCACAAGGAGUAGAUUCCUUUUGGUUACGGUCAAUGGUCUGUAUUAGAGCUCUGAUGGUAUAUCUAUAAUAUGAGAAGGGACCUUAGACAUCUGUCUGCUUUUCCCACCUUGCUCACUCUCACUAUAUUUUAUCUGAAAUGGGAAACAAUCUCUGCUCAGGCGAAUCCAUGGGGCCAAUGUAGCGUUAUUUGAAGAUUCUGGAGGGGGCAAAACAGGGCUGCUUAGGAUCUCCACGUGGCUCAUCAUUCUUUCAUUGGGAGUUAACACUUGGAGGCUUUUCUGCUUCUGGGAUUUACUCAACACAUGCUUUUCACUCCUGCAGCAGAGCGGGACCAAGCCUGCAAAAAGCCAGGAGAUCUACGAAUCCCUCAGACUCACGAAACUAGAGUGAAAUCAGAAAUCUUCUCUGCUAGGUCACCUCAUCCCUGUCACUGAUUCUUUCUACUGUUUGCU
rnacentral:lncRNA from 1 species